rnacentral:lncRNA from 1 species
AUGGGUUUUGUUGGGAUAUUGAUUUGGGGGUUUUGCUAAUCUUCUUUGAAAUUAAAUUGGGGCAUUAGGGAUUUUGUUGAUUUACACGUUGGAGGUGACUGAAAUGGAAUUGAAUUUUACUCAGGUUUAGGGAUCUGGUACUGGGUUUUUGGAUUACCUUAUUGGUUUAUUCUUUAAUUCGAUUUGGGUGUUUGUUAGCUAUAACCUUUGAAUAAAAUUUGCUUAAACUUUAUGGGUGUUCUUCAAAUCGUUUUGAGCUGGACUCCGAUUCGUCAUCGUUGUACUGUCUCCAGCUCUGAAGCCGUCUCUGCUCACUAUACCC